GAUGAACGCUGGCGGCGUGCCUAAUACAUGCAAGUCGAGCGAACAGACGAGGAGCUUGCUCCUCUGACGUUAGCGGCGGACGGGUGAGUAACACGUGGAUAACCUACCUAUAAGACUGGGAUAACUUCGGGAAACCGGAGCUAAUACCGGAUAAUAUAUUGAACCGCAUGGUUCAAUAGUGAAAGACGGUUUUGCUGUCACUUAUAGAUGGAUCCGCGCCGCAUUAGCUAGUUGGUAAGGUAACGGCUUACCAAGGCAACGAUGCGUAGCCGACCUGAGAGGGUGAGCGGCCACACGUGAACUGAGACACGGUCCAGACUCCUACGGGAGGCAGCAGUAGGGAAUCUUCCGCAAUGGGCGAAAGCCUGACGGAGCAACGCCGCGUGAGUGAUGAAGGUCUUCGGAUCGUAAAACUCUGUUAUUAGGGAAGAACAAAUGUGUAAGUAACUAUGCACGUCUUGACGGUACCUAAUCAGAAAGCCACGGCUAACUACGUG
rnacentral:rRNA from 1 species